UACGUAGGGUGCAAGCGUUGUCCGGAAUUAUUGGGCGUAAAGAGCUCGUAGGCGGUCUGUUGCGUCGGCUGUGAAAACCCGGGGCUCAACCCUGGGCCUGCAUUCGAUACGGGCAGACUAGAGUUCGGUAGGGGAGACUGGAAUUCCUGGUGUAGCGGUGAAAUGCGCAGAUAUCAGGAGGAACACCGGUGGCGAAGGCGGGUCUCUGGGCCGAAACUGACGCUGAGGAGCGAAAGCGUGGGGAGCAAACAGG
rnacentral:rRNA from 1 species